UUUUGAUGCGUGGCAAAUUCUGGCAAUGACUUAAGAUUGAUUCAGGCCUGGAUGGGAGGGAGGGCAGAGGUGGUGAGUGUUGGGAUGUAGACUCCCUGACUGGAAGCUUCUCUUGCCGCUCUUUCUGGGUGAUUAUUGUGCCAAUCUUCAUAAGAACACUUUAUCCAGAAUGUCACUGUACCUGUGAAUGAAGUGCAUCUGCUCCAAGUAGACACAGCCUUUUGAAAUAUCUACACAAAGGUCUACAAGGUCAACCAAGAAGACAGCAAAUUGCUAUGGACUUUAAACUGAAGAGCCAUGCUGAUAACAUCUAACUGUGCGAUGCUUAACAGCAGGGAUUGGAAUAGCUGUGGGAUACCUUGAAGAGGAGUCCACUGAUGGAGUGGUUAGCAGAGCAAGGAAGAAGAACCAGGAGACAUCAGAAAAGAUACCGGGCUUGCAGAAGGAAGUUGGUUCAAACCACAGGCAUCCAGACAUUAAUAGCCAACACCCUAGAGAGUGGAGAUCAGUGUCAAGCUGCCAUAUCAUCAAGGAAGCGUGAGUGCCCAUUAUCUCUCUGGCAAGAGUGAGGUAAAUUGCUUUGGGGGCCUCAAUCAGGGUUCCCAUUUAAAAGGUAAUCAUUAAGAAAAAAAGA